rnacentral:rRNA from 1 species
AGUGAACGCUGGCGGUAGGCCUAACACAUGCAAGUCGAACGGCAGCACAGUAAGAGCUUGCUCUUACGGGUGGCGAGUGGCGGACGGGUGAGGAAUACAUCGGAAUCUACUUUUUCGUGGGGGAUAACGUAGGGAAACUUACGCUAAUACCGCAUACGACCUACGGUUGAAAGCAGGGGAUCUUCGGACCUUGCGCGAUUGAAUGAGCCGAUGUCGGAUUAGCUAGUUGGCGGGGUAAAGGCCCACCAAGGCGACGAUCCGUAGCUGGUCUGAGAGGAGGAUCAGCCACACUGGAACUGAGACACGGUCCAGACUCCUACGGGAGGCAGCAGUGGGGAAUAUUGGACAAUGGGCGCAAGCCUGAUCCAGCCAUACCGCGUGGGUGAAGAAGGCCUUCGGGUUGUAAAGCCCUUUUGUUGGGAAAGAAAAGCAGCAGGUUAAUACCCCGCUGUUCUGACGGUACCCAAAGAAUAAGCACCGGCUAACUUCGUG